CUUUUACAAUGAAGAGUUUGAUCCUGGCUCAGGAUGAACGCUAGCUACAGGCUUAACACAUGCAAGUCGAGG
rnacentral:rRNA from 1 species